rnacentral:tRNA from 1 species
GGCGAAUGUAGCCAAGUGGAUUAAGGCGCUGGAUUGUGAAUCCAUCACCGCGCGGGUUCAAUUCCCGUCAUUCGCC